CCAAACCACUAAUGAUGCUUGCUUUUCAAUUUCUUUUCACAAUAACGACGAAAACAUGACUUCCUCAAAGUCCAUAUAUAUAAUUCAGAGCAAGAAAACAAUUUGGAUCCACCACCAAUGGCAUAGAUUCAACUAGUACCUAACCUACCUAAAAGUCUCCGUUAGACUUGGUUCACGAGACUCUUCAAGCUUCCUUCUCCUUUCCAUGAAAUUUACAGAAUAAAAAAAAAUCUACUUCUAAAGGUUUCUCUAACUUUUUUUAAGCUAUUGUUCUUAACCCUAUAACUUUUCCAGAAAGAUUUUUGUUUUUCUUAGCUUAAUGGCUUCUUCUUCCUCCUCUUCACGCAAUUGGGUAUACGAUGUUUUCCCGAGCUUUAGUGGGGAAGACGUCCGCGUAACUUUCCUCAGCCACUUUCUAAAAGAACUUGACCGAAAACUGAUAAUUUCUUUCAAAGACAACGAGAUCGAGAGAAGCCAGUCGCUCGAUCCCGAGCUUAAACAAGCGAUCAGGACUUCAAGGAUUGCGGUGGUUGUGUUUUCAGAGAAGUACGCAUCUUCAAGCUGGUGCCUGGAUGAGUUGCUGGAGAUCGUGAACUGCAAGGAAGAGUUGGAUCAACUAAUUAUACCGGUUUUCUACGGUUUAGAUCCAUCUCAUGUCAGGAAACAAACCGGAAACUUUGGAGAGGCUUUUGCUAAGACUUGUCAGAGAAAAACAGAGGAUGAAAGCAAGCUUUGGCGGCAAUCAUUGACCGACGUAGCAAGUCUCCUCGGAUAUCAUUCUCAAAACUGGCCUAACGAAGCAAAAAUGAUAGAAGCAAUUGCCAAUGAUAUCUUGGCUAAACUAAACUUAGCUCCAUCGAAGGAUUUUGAGGACUUUGUCGGAAUGGAAGAUCAUAUUGCAAAUAUGAGUGUAUUAUUGCAUUUGGAAUCUGACGAAGUGAGGAUGGUUGGGAUAUGGGGCACCUCAGGAAGUGGCAAAACUUCCAUUGCAAGAGUUUUAUACAACCAACUUUCUCGUCAGUUCCAAGGUAGAAUUUUCAUAGACAGAGCUUUCGUAUCUAAGAGCCUGGAAAUUUAUAAAAGUGCCAACCCGGACGACUAUAACAUGAAGUUGCAUUUGUUGAGAAAUUUCUUGUCUGAAAUUUUAGACAAAAAAGAUAUAAGGAUAAGUUGUUUAGGGGCAGUGGAAGAGAGGCUAAAACACCAAAAAGUUCUUAUAUUUAUUGAUGAUUUGGAUGAUCAAGUGGUGCUAGAUACUUUGGUCGGUCAAACUCAGUGGUUUGGAAGUGGGAGUAGAAUCAUUUUGGUUACAAAAGACAAACAUUUUUUACGGGCCCAUGGGAUUGAUCAUAUCUAUGAAGUAUGUCUCCCAUCUCAGAAGCUUGCUCUUGAGAUGUUCUCUAGAUAUGCUUUUAGGCAAAACUUUCCACCCGACGGUUUGAUAGAGCUUGCUUCUGAAGUUGCAUUAUGUGCCGGUAAUCUUCCUUUGGGUCUUAAGGUUUUGGGCUCGUAUUUAAGGGGUAGAGACAAAGAGGAUUUAAUGGAUAUGUUGCCGAGGCUUCGAAAUGGUUUGGAUGGAAAAAUUGAGAAGACACUAAGACUCAGCUAUGAUGGAUUAAAUGAUAAAAAAGAUAAAGCAAUAUUACGUCACAUUGCAUGUCUUUUCAAUGGUGAAAAAGUCAGUAACAUCAAGUUGUUACUAGCACACAGCGGCUUGGAUGUUAAUAUCGGGUUGAAAAACCUCGUUGAAAAAUCUCUUAUAUAUGUACGAGAGGGUAUCGUUGAGAUGCACUCUUUGCUACAAGAAAUGGGUAAGGAGAUCGUGCGCGCACAGUCCAAUGAACCUGGAGAAAGGGAAUUCCUUAUGGACUCAAAGGAUAUAUGUGAUUUACUAGAAGAUAACACUGGUACCAAAAAGAUAAUAGGUAUAUCAUUGGAUAUGGAUGAGACUGAUGAACUGCGUAUACAUGAGAGUGCUUUCAAAGAGAUGCGUAAUCUUCUUUUUCUAGAAAUUUACACUAAGGAGUGGUACCAACAAAGGUUAACAACAAGAAAAUCGGACCAAAAGAAAGAGGUGAGAUGGCACUUACCAGAAGGGUUUGACUAUUUACCCCAUAAACUUAGAUUAUUGAGGUUGGACGAUUAUCCAAGGAGGUGUAUGCCUUCUAAUUUUUGUCCUCAAAAUCUCGUUAAGCUCCAAAUGCAAGGGAGCAAACUCGAGAGGCUAUGGGAAGGAGUUCAUACACUUGGAGGGCUCAAGAAAAUAGAUUUGAAAAGAUCUAUACAUUUGAAAGAAAUUCCAGAUCUUUCAAUGGCCACCAAUCUCGAGACACUUGAUCUUAGUGAUUGCUCAAGUUUGGUGGAACUUCCUUCCUCUAUUCAAUAUCUCAAUAAGCUAGAGCAGUUAAUCAUGUCAGGAUGCAGUAAUGUAGAGACUCUUCCCAAUGGAAUCAAUCUCCAAUCUCUUGAUACGCUUGACCUCCAAGGAUGCUCACGGUUGAAUAUUUUUCCUGAUAUCUCAACCAACAUCUCAGUGCUCCUUAUCAAGAAUACAUGUAUUGAAGAAAUUACCUCUCAUUUGUGUCUAAUGAAUCUUACUGUUCUUAGAAUCAUGAAUGAGAACUUUUGGAAAACAGUGCAGCCGCUUACACCUCUCAUGGCGAUGCUGCCUCACACUUUGGGGAGAUUGUUUCUGUCGGAUAUUCCAAGUUUGGUGGAGAUUCCUUCCUCUAUCCAGAAUUUCACUAAACUUGAUAUUUUGCAAAUUACGGAUUGCAUAAAUCUGGAGACUCUUCCCACUGGUAUCAACUUACAUCAUCUUUAUACCCUUAAUCUCAGUGGAUGCUCACGGUUGGACACUUUUCCUAAUAUCUCAACCAACAUUAGACAGCUCCUUCUACAACGAACAGGGAUAGAAGAGGUCCCUUGGUGGAUCGAGAAAUUCACUAAGCUCACAUACAUGACUAUGGAGAAGUGCAACAAUUUAGUACGUGUAUCCUUAAACAUUUACAAACUGAAACAACUAACCGCUGAAUUUUCAGGCUGUGGGUCAUUGACCGAAGCUAGUUGGAAUGGUAGUCCAAGUGAGGUGGCAAUAGCAACAGAUAACAUUCACUCUAAGUUUCCAAUCCAGGGACUUGACGAGGCUUUCUCAUAUCACCCAAGUUAUUAUCAACGAAAAGUGGGAUUCACCUUCAAGUUCUUAAACUUGGAUCCAGAAGCUAUCCUCCACAACCAAUCAAUUAUUUUCAACUCCAUGAUAUUGUUAGGUGAAGAAGUGCCUUCAUAUUUCACUCACCAAUCUAUUGGUUCCGGAGAAUCUUUGACCAAUAUCCCUCUACUUCACACAUCUCUCUCUCAACAAUUCUUCAAAUUUAGGGCUUGCGCCGUGGUUGUUUUCGAUUCUAAGCCCAUUAAUAGUGGGAAUGCAAUACAUAUCCAUGUAAACUGUCGGUUCAAAGACAGAUUUGGGAACAGCUUUGAUUCAUCUGGUCAGCUACAUGACUUCUACACACCUAUGACAGAUAGUCAUCUGUUUAUAUUGGACUGUCGUAUCCCUCUAAACGAUGUUAAUGCUCCUCUAGCUCAAGGGAACUACGAUCACGUCGAUAUGCAGAUUCAUAUAAAAAAGAUAUGGCAGGGUCCAUUAUACAUGAAUGACUCUAAGUUAACAUUUAAUGGAUGGGGUAUACGACUCUUAGAGGAAUCUUCAUCACUGGAGAAUAGACUUAGUAACUCAAACACAAUUCCACAUGUUUGUGAAGCAGGUGAAGACAAUUUGGUUAAUAAGACUGAGCACAGAGAAGAGUGUGUUGAGACGACAGUUGUGAAGAGACAGAGAGAAACUGGAAGCGAAAGCAGAUUACGUGAAGCACCACUCAAGAAACCUCUGCUUUUCCCUGCCUCUGAUACCCAGGAGGAACACAAGACGUCACUUUGAAUCUUUGAUUGUGCGAAUAUUGAAAUGAGUACGUUUUCGUCAGUUCUAAUGGACCAACAUGCCUCCCCAGCUGAAGAGACGGUUUUAGCAUGUUUACAAAGGCUGCUUCUGUAAUCAGUUGAGAGAAGAGAAGAUUAAAAAACUGUUGAGAUAAUACUUUGGUGAUGAGAAUGGAUUUUUCUAGGCCGGGAUGAUUUGGCUUUACUUAGUUUCGAUUAUAAAAGGAAAGAACAACAUUCAAAUCAAUUAUCAACCCUAUGACCUCUCCUAUCAUUACUACUAUAAUAUUCCCUUGUAAUCAAUUCAGAAUAUAUGACUUGCUUCCCAAGGUUUUUCCAUCAUUAGUUUCCUCUGACAACUUCUUAUACACGUUUCCUUCUUUCUUUUUUUCUCGUCUUGAUGAAAUCUGCAAAAUGUAUCUGAAAUUUUAUACUUACAGACUUAUGCAUAGAAUUUUUUA